CAAAUCAUAACCUUGAGGGGGUUCUAUUAUUUACAUUAAUAGGUUAGUUGUGCAAUUCAACUUGAUUUGA
rnacentral:tRNA from 1 species